UACAGAGGGUGCAAGCGUUAAUCGGAAUUACUGGGCGUAAAGCGUGCGUAGACGGUCAUGUAAGUCGGGUGUGAAAGCCCCGGGCUCAACCUGGGAAUUGCAUUCGAGACUGCAUGGCUAGGGUGCGGAAGAGGGAAGCGGAAUUUCCGGUGUAGAGGUGAAAUUCGUAGAUAUUCGGAAGAACACCAGUGGCGAAGGCGGCUCACUGGACUGGUAUUGACGCUGAGGUGCGAAAGCGUGGGGAGCAAACAGG
rnacentral:rRNA from 1 species